GAUGAACGCUGGCGGCGUGCCUAACACAUGCAAGUCGAGCGAAGCGGGGACGGGUGAGUAACACGUGGAUAACCUCCUCUAAGACUGGGCUAACCUCGGGAAAACGGAGCUAAACCGGCUACUUAUAGAUGGAUCCGUGAGGCAUUAGCUAGUUGGUAAGGUAACGGCUUACCAAGGCAACGAUACAUAGCUGACCUGAGAGGGUGGUCGGCCACACUGGAACUGAGGCACGGACCUGACUCCUACGGGAAGCAGCAGUAGGGAAUGUUACACAAUGGGCGAAAGCCUGACGUAGCCACACCGCGUGGGUGAUGAAGGUCUUCGGUUCGUAAAGCUCUGUUAUUAGGGAAGCGGUACCUAAUCAGAAAGCCACGGCUAACUACGUGCCAACAGCCGCGGUAGUAC
rnacentral:rRNA from 1 species